rnacentral:rRNA from 1 species
GAUGAACGCUAGCGGGAGGCCUAACACAUGCAAGCCGAGCGGUAUGGAUAGCUUGCUCUCCAGAGAGCGGCGUACGGGUGCGUAACACGUGUGCAACCUACCUUUAUCUGGGGGAUAGCCUUUCGAAAGGAAGAUUAAUACCCCAUAAUAUAAUGAUUGGCAUCAAUUAUUAUUGAAAACUCCGGUGGAUAGAGAUGGGCACGCGCAAGAUUAGAUAGUUGGUGAGGUAACGGCUCACCAAGUCAAUGAUCUUUAGGGGUCCUGAGAGGGAGAUCCCCCACACUGGUACUGAGACACGGACCAGACUCCUACGGGAGGCAGCAGUGAGGAAUAUUGGACAAUGGGUGAGAGCCUGAUCCAGCCAUCCCGCGUGAAGGAUGACGGUCCUAUGGAUUGUAAACUUCUUUUGGACAGGGAUAAACCUACCCUCGUGAGGGUAGCUGAAGGUACUGUACGAAUAAGCACCGGCUAACUCCGUG